GUAAGUUCCGACCCGCACGAAAGGCGUAACGAUCUGGGCACUGUCUCGGAGAGAGACUCGGUGAAAUAGACAUAUUCGUGAAGAUGCGAAUUAAUCAUACUUGGACAGAAAGACCCUAUGAAGCUUGACUGUAGUCUGGAAUUGGGUUUGGGUUCUUCUUGCGCAGACUAGGUGGGAGGCGUUGAAUAUUUCUUUCCGGGGAAAUAGGAGCCAUCAGUGAGAGACCACUCUUGAAGAACUAGAAUUCUAAUGGCGAUCCUUCAAUCAGGACGCUUGACAGUUUCAGAUGGGCAGUUUGACUGGGGCGGUCGCCUC
rnacentral:rRNA from 13 species